rnacentral:rRNA from 1 species
GAUGAACGCUAGCUACAGGCUUAACACAUGCAAGUCGAGGGGUAACGAGAGGAAAGCUUGCUUUCCUUGUCGACGACCGGCGCACGGGUGAGUAACGCGUAUCCAACCUGCCCCCAACUAGGGAAUAACCUUGCGAAAGUAAGACUAAUACCCUAUAAUUUCCUCAGAUGUCAUCUGACGAGGAAUAAAGAUUUAUCGGUUGUGGAUGGGGAUGCGUCUGAUUAGCUUGUUGGCGGGGUAACGGCCCACCAAGGCAACGAUCAGUAGGGGUUCUGGGAGGAAGGUCCCCCACAUUGGAACUGGGACACGGUCCAAACUCCUACGGGAGGCAGCAGUGAGGAAUAUUGGUCAAUGGGCGGAAGCCUGAACCAGCCAAGUAGCGUGCAGGAUGACGGCCCUAUGGGUUGUAAACUGCUUUUAUACAGGAAUAAAGUUAGCCACGUGUGGUUAUUUGUAGGUACUGUAUGAAUAAGGACCGGCUAAUUCCGUGCCAGCAGCCGCCGUAAGAC